GCAUGGUCUAGUGGUUUGAGUGUUGGACCAUGACUCCGAAGGCCGGGGUUCAAUUUCCUGCUCCA